GUUCUUGCUUCGGCAGCACAUCUAGUAAAACUGGAACAAUACAGAGAAGAUUAGUAUGGCCCCUGCAUAAGGAUAACAUGCAAAUUCUCUUUCCAGAUGGUG
ensembl:snRNA U6 U6 spliceosomal RNA